AGAGUUUGAUCCUGGCUCAGGAUGAACGCCGGCGGUGUGCCUAAUACAUGCAAGUCGUACGCACUGGCCCAACUGAUUGAUGGUGCUUGCACCUGAUUGACGAUGGAUUACCAGUGAGUGGCGGACGGGUGAGUAACACGUAGGUAACCUGCCCCGGAGCGGGGGAUAACAUUUGGAAACAGAUGCUAAUACCGCAUAACAACAAAAGCCACAUGGCUUUUGUUUGAAAGAUGGCUUUGGCUAUCACUCUGGGAUGGACCUGCGGUGCAUUAGCUAGUUGGUAAGGUAACGGCUUACCAAGGCGAUGAUGCAUAGCCGAGUUGAGAGACUGAUCGGCCACAAUGGAACUGAGACACGGUCCAUACUCCUACGGGAGGCAGCAGUAGGGAAUCUUCCACAAUGGGCGCAAGCCUGAUGGAGCAACACCGCGUGAGUGAAGAAGGGUUUCGGCUCGUAAAGCUCUGUUGUUGGAGAAGAACGUGCGUGAGAGUAACUGUUCACGCAGUGACGGUAUCCAACCAGAAAGUCACGGCUAACUACGUG
rnacentral:rRNA from 1 species